rnacentral:rRNA from 1 species
AGAACGACUCUCGGCAACGGAUAUCUCGGCUCACGCAUCGAUGAAGAACGUAACAAAUGCGAUACUUGGUGUGAAUUGCAGAAUCCCGUGAACCAUCGAGUUUUUGAACGCAAGUUGCGCCCGAAGCCAUUUGGUUGAGGGCACAUCUGCCUGGGCGUCACG